rnacentral:rRNA from 1 species
AUACGGAGGGUGCAAGCGUUAUCCGGAAUCAUUGGGUUUAAAGGGUCCGUAGGCGGACUAUUAAGUCAGAGGUGAAAUCCCACAGCUCAACUGUGGAACUGCCUUUGAUACUGGUAGUCUUGAGUUAUAUGGAAGUAGAUAGAAUGUGUAGUGUAGCGGUGAAAUGCAUAGAUAUUACACAGAAUACCGAUUGCGAAGGCAGUCUACUACGUAUAUACCGACGCUAAGGGACGAAAGCGUGGGGAGCGAACAGGAUUAGAUACCCCGGUAGUCC